rnacentral:rRNA from 1 species
GACGAACGCUGGCGGCGUGCCUAACACAUGCAAGUCGAACGGAAAUAUUUGAGAGCUUGCUCUUAAAUAUUUUAGUGGCGGACGGGUGAGUAACACGUGGGUAACCAACCUUGUACAGGGGAAUAAUCAUUAGAAAUGAUGACUAAUACCGCAUGAGAUCCUAAAUUCGCAUGAAUGAAGGAUGAAAAGAGAAAUCUGGUACAAGACGGGCCCGCGGCGCAUUAGCUAGUUGGUAAGGUAAUGGCUUACCAAGGCGACGAUGCGUAGCCGAUCUGAGAGGAUGAACGGCCACACUGGAACUGAGAACGGUCCAGACUCCUACGGGAGGCAGCAGUGGGGAAUAUUGCGCAAUGGGCGAAAGCCUGACGCAGCAACGCCGCGUGGAGGAAGAAGGUAUUCGUAUUGUAAACUCCUGUCUAGUGGGAAGAAAAAAAUGACGGUACCACUGGAGGAAGCCACGGCUAACUACGUGCCAGCAGCCGCGGUAAUAC